GCAAAGAGUAUAAUCACACUGCUUCAUUUAAGUCGAAGCGUCCAUUUAUUUUUAUUUUUAUUUGUAGUACUAAUUUAUUAAAAAUUUAUUCUUGAUUCUGAUUAGAUCCUUUUGUUUGCGUUUACUCAAUGGAAAAUGCACACUUAAGUCGAAUUUAUAAAUGACCAACUAAUUUAAAAACAACCGAUUUUCAAAAUGACCAAAAAGCCAUUCAUUGGUUCUAUAAAUAGUGGUUUAAGAGCACUUCAUAAUUACAUUUUGCUAAUUAAGGUGAAAAAAAAAAUCUUCAAAAUCAAAGAUAUGACACAAUUAUGCAAUGAAAAGUAUGUCAAUGCGCUGAUAAACAAACCAAACAAUAAAUGAUUGGUGAACCUCCAUUGCAUUCUGGUAGACACCCUUGAGAAGUUGGAUCAGAUCUUGACAAAGCAAGUCAUGCUCCGCCAGAAAGUGGAUGCCCGCGAGAUGAUGAGGGCAAAUGUCCGUGCCUCUGGGGUAGAUGUUGUUGAUGUGCUCCCCCUUCCUCCCUCUCUCUUCAUAGUUAAUUUUAGGUUUUCUUAGAACCCUACCUCCCACCCUGCAUGUUAAUGUUUUUGGCAGGAUUUCUUUUUGAUUCUGUUUGAUGUUUUUAUUUUAAAUUUUAUAAUGAAUUUUAUGUUUUUCUUUUCA